GUAGUCCACGCUGUAAACGAUGACUGCUAGUUGUUGGGGGGUUCCCCCUCAGUGACGUAGCCAACGCGUUAAGCAGUCCGCCUGGGGAGUACGGCCGCAAGGUUAAAACUCAAAGAAAUUGACGGGGACCCGCACAAGCGGUGGAGCAUGUGGUUUAAUUCGAGGCAACGCGAAGAACCUUACCAGGCCUUGACAUGGCACGUUUGAUCGUCAGAGAUGACUUUCUUCACUUCGGGUGGCGUGCACACAGGUGCUGCAUGGCUGUCGUCAGCUCGUGUCGUGAGAUGUUGGGUUAAGUCCCGCAACGAGCGCAACCCUCGUCCUUAGUUGCUAACAUUCAGUUGAGAACUCUAAGGAAACUGCCUAUGAUAAGUAGGA
rnacentral:rRNA from 1 species